rnacentral:rRNA from 1 species
CGGUGUCGUAGCUAACGCGUUAAGUGUUCCGCCUGGGGAGUACGCACGCAAGUGUGAAACUCAAAGGAAUUGACGGGGGCCCGCACAAGCGGUGGAGUAUGUGGUUUAAUUCGAUGCAACGCGAAGAACCUUACCAGGGUUUGACAUCCUGCGAACCUCUUAGAAAUUUGAGGGUGCCUUCGGGAAUGCAGUGACAGGUGGUGCAUGGCUGUCGUCAGCUCGUGUCGUGAGAUGUUGGGUUAAGUCCCGCAACGAGCGCAACCCACGUUUUUAGUUGCCAGCAUUUAGUUGGGCACUCUAGAAAGACCGCCGGUGAUAAACCGGAGGAAGGUGUGGAUGACGUCAAGUCAUCAUGCCCCUUACACCCUGGGCUACACACGUACUACAAUGCUACGGACAAAGGGCAGCAAACUCGCGAGAGCUAGCAAAUCCCAUAAACCGUGGCUCAGUUCAGAUCGUAGGCUGCAACUCGCCUACGUGAAGUAGGAAUCGCUAGUAAUCGCAGGUCAGCAUACUGCGGUGAAUACGUUCCCGGGCCUUGUACACACCGCCCGUCACACCAUGGAAGUUGGCCAUGCCCGAAGUCGUUACUCCAACCCUUGUGGAGGAGGACGCCGAAGGUGGGGCUAAUGACUGGGGUGAAGUCAUAACAAGGUAGCCGUA